UCAAAUCCAGAUUCUAAUUAAUUUGUUCCUUUCGUCAGGGCUUGAGUCAUGGAGUAGGCUGGUGAAGAGGAGUAAGUAGUGUGGCUAGAGCAAAGAUCUGGCCGUGAUUCCUCGAGCGUCCGCCAUCGAAUCCAACGAGCCAGCAAGUUUCAUCACGCGCCGCGGCGACUCCAGCAAAUUCGCGAGCAUUUUUUAUACAAAGCCCCAGCCGCGGCGGCCAUGGGAAACGGUGGUGGUGGGAACAAGAAGGGGAGGAGAGACUCGCCGUCGCCGCCGCUCGAGACCCCCCCGCGCGGCGAGUUGCCGUCGACGUCGUCGUCCUCCUCCUCGCGCGCCACCAAGCGUCACCGCGUGGCGGGCAUGGCGGACCGCUACUUCCCCAACGACCUCCCGGACUUCGUCGCCGAGGCCCCCGACGGCGGCCGCGGCUUGCUGUCGCUCCCUUACUCCAGCCUCUCCGAAAGGCUCCUCCGCGCCGCGCUCCGGAUCAAGGACAAGGUCAUGGAGGAGACGUGGACCAGGGCGCGGCGACAGGUGACGGACUACACGCUCUACACGGGCGCGCUCGGCACGGCGCUCCUGCUGUUCAAGUCCUUCCAGGUCACCGGCAACCGCGCCGACCUCGCCCUCGCCGGCGACAUCGUCAAGGAGUGCGACGCCGCGUCGCGUGGCCUGCCACGCAGGUUCUUGACAUUCAUCUGUGGGAGGGCUGGGGUUUGCGCUCUUGGUGCAGUGAUUGCAAAACAUUGCAAUGACCAGCUGCUACUCACACACUACCUGAGCUCAUUUGAUGAGAUAAUAGUCACUGAGAAAGUUCCCAAUGAGUUGUUAUAUGGAAGAGCAGGGUAUUUGUGGGCUUGCUUGUUCUUGAAUACGCAUCUCGGCGAGAAGACAAUUCCCCAUGAGCACAUUACUUCUGUGGCAAAGGACAUCAUCGAUGAGGGAAGAAAGCUGGCUAAAAAGGGGAACUGCCCCCUGAUGUAUGAAUGGCAUGGAAAGAAGUACUGGGGUGCUGCUCAUGGGCUUGCUGGCAUUAUGCAUGUCCUCAUGCACACUGAACUCAAGCUAGAUGAGAAGGAUGAUGUUAAGAACACUCUGCUAUACAUGAUCAGGAACAGGUAUCCUACUGGCAACUAUCCAUCGAGUGAAGGCAGUGAAUCUGACCGCUUGGUGCAUUGGUGCCAUGGUGCCCCUGGUGUUGCUCUUACACUCGCUAAAGCUUAUCAGGUCUUCCAUGAUGAACAUUUCAAGCAGACGGCUGCAGAGGCUGCAGAAGUUGUCUGGAACCGGGGACUUCUCAAGAGAGUUGGAAUAUGCCAUGGUGUCGGUGUAAGCUGAGAGGUCUUCUUCGGUGAACCACUGAGGCAUCGGUGUUGAUUCAUCUGCAAGGUCCAUGAUCUCUUGUCCUUGCUUGGCAACUGGAAUCUCACUCCUGGAGAAGAGGAUGUAGAUUGUGCGCAAGAUCCUCCUCGUGUCGAAUCGGCCAAAAUCCGCCUCUGCUCUCCCAGGUUCCUACUCAGGAAGUCCACUGAAACUGAGGCUUUCCACAAGAGGUGGCACACCUAAGCUCACAAUACCACAUACGCGGUCCGGAUGGCAGAGGGCAAGAUCAUAUGCUGGUUUGACUCCAAAAUCCUUUGCAACAAGGAACACCUUUCAACCAUGAAAUGAUCGUCACUCGUCAGGAUACAGUACUUCUUUUCAAAAAUUAAGCCAAUUUACAAACUUAUCAAUAAUCAAGUAAAAUAAUGCAUGGAUGAAACCAUAACCAAUUUUGCCAAUGGGGCAAGUUCUAAUUUACAUCAGCUUCUGACUUAUUUCAUGUUUGCCAUAGUUAUCAAAAUGCGUUAGAGACUUGGGGUUCAUCUUAGCAUUUGCAUAAACUUUUAUUGGAUCUCAAUGUUUUCUCCUGCCUGUACUCACCUUGGGAAUCGACAGCGAGUCUAGAAUGGCCAAGAGGUCAUUCAUCAGGCCCUGCCAUGACGCCUGUGUUAGGUCAGCCGGUGGCUCCGAGAGGCCAUAGCCUGGGAAAUCAAGUGCAAUAGCACGGAACCCGGCUGCUGCUGCUGCAAUCAUCUGGUGCCUCCAUGAGUACCACACCUCAGGGAAGCCAUGAACGAAGAGCAGAGUUGCAGCUUCACCUGGAAUAACCAAAUCAAGAAGCUGAGCUGCAUUCUUUCGGAAGAGCAAAAAAAAGCAGAGAGAUGCUGAUGUCAACAAAAAUGAGGCUAGUAACGGAUGGAUGGCACAAAGAUGCGCACACUUUGUGUGAAGCAUCUUCUGCUGAUGUCUUCUGCUGUUUUUGUCAGUUUGUGGUAGCCAGAGACAAGAUGCUGAUGUCUUCUGCUGUCUGUAUUUUAAUACUCCAAGCAACGCUGCAAAAUGUUAACUGAAAAAGAUUCCCUCUGUACGUUCAUCAGUCAAAUAACGUUACUGAAUUUUCAUGGUCUAUAUUACUCGAUUUUGACUAUUACUUGUUCAAAUACAGUCAUUAAAUUGAUUUAUGUUAUCUUUCACAUGUGCUGAAGCUUUGGUUUGAAGCAAUUGUUUGCAUAAAGAAACCAGCAGUAACAAAUAGCAAACAGUUCGUUUUACUAUCUGCUUCAUUCUGAUAAAGUAGGGCUGUAAAAAAAGCUCGAAGCUCGCGAGCUGCUUGAGCUCGGCUCGCUGUAGACUCGGCUCGAGCUCGAUUCGUCAACAAUUCGAGCCGAACUCAAGCCUAGCUCCAAGCUUGCGAGCUUGACGAGCCGAGCUCAAAUAGCUCGUCGAGCCCAAAUUUCCCUCUGUCAAGUUCUUAAAUUUUCAAUACAACAGCUAGUACUACUCCUACUCCCAAUGAAAAGCUGUAUAGAAACAGAGCGUGCAGGGCUGCACCGUGCAGGCACUAGCCUACUAGUACUACUUUACUCUGCAGCACUAGCCUAUUAGUACUACUAGCAUGCAUGCAGCUCUAUUUAAUAGUACUACUAGUUGUCAUAUCAUGUUUGAAAAAGCUACUAG